GGUGGUGGGUUGAGACAGCGGGCAGGUUCAGAUACGCAGAGCAGAGACACAGCUGGGGUGUGUUGAUGCGGCCAGAGACAUCAGAGACAUCACGGUGUUGGUGGCAGGGUGGAGUGAGAGGUUGUGGGUUGAGAUUCCUACGGCAUAUUUCAAUCCCCUGCUUUGGGACUCAUGCCUUGGGGAUAUUACAGACACUACUAUGUUGGAAGCGGUUGGCGGCAGGGUUCAUAGUUGCACAGCGGGCGCACAUGCAGACCCUACAUUACAGAGCGGUAGGUAGCAGGGCUCUGACGGGGUGACGUUGACAGUCAGUAUCUAGUGGCAUUUCCUGGUGGUGUAGAGGACCUACCUGUGCGGGGGGGCUGGGGGCCCUCCUGACAGCACCGAGUUAAGCUGGUGCAAAUGUAGCAUAUCAUGGAGUGCUUAGCGAAACUGAUGUCUUAAUGGAAUCUGAGCUGGGGGGGAUAAGGGGGCAGGUUACAUACAGAUGGGGGGGUUGGAUAAAGCUGUGAGUAAGCCACCGAAGGGGCGGGGCGGAGUUGUCCAGGGGUAGUGAUGAAGGGUAGACAUUGUGGGUAGGGUAAGGGCACCCUACCCCUACCCCAUACACCCCUACCAAGGGGUUGGGUUAUGGCGGAAGUGAGUAAGGUCCUCUUGGGUAGGGUAGCGGGUGUGUAGUAGUGCCUACCCAGCUGGGGUCACCGACCUUUUUACGGCAACAGGGGAUUGCAUAGUUGGUACGUAUUUAUGUGGGGCCUGCCUCUUAGUGCGUGGGCCCUCCAAUUCUUUGGCGAGAAGGUACACCUGCCACUUCCAUGCUGCAUAGAUUUAUAAAGACAGUUCCCCCUGAGUGUUAUCCUACAGAGUCCUACCUUCCUUGCCGAGCUGCUUUCCAAGCAUGGAGGGUCCUACUUUUUUGGGGGUAGGUGUGACUGGCGUGGCAUGAUGGUUGUCGUACGGUACAUAGCCUGGUGCUGCAUGAUCAACUUGCAGGACGAUGUAACGUUGGAAGACAACGAGCGUUUAACCGGCUUAUGUUGUGCUGAAGUGUUCUCAUUUGGCGAAAGGAGAGGCCCUGGAUUGUGUCCAAGCAAACGAUUGCCACCACGGCGAGCCGGAACCAUCACCAUCACUGCACGUAGCUAGGUGCCUGAGUGCGUAAUUUUUAAGUAUUAAUUAUUUAUUAUACUGAAGCGGGUGCUUUGCUGUUGCUUUUAUGUAACAUAUGGAACGAAUUAUA
rnacentral:lncRNA from 1 species